UACGAGGGGUGCAAGCGUUGCUCGGAAUUAUUGGGCGUAAAGGGUAGGUAGGUGGUCUCAUUUGUCUGGGGUGAAAGCCUUGAGUUUAACUCAAGAAGUGCCCCGGAAACGGUGAGACUGGAGUCCCGGAGAGGGUCGUGGAAUUCCCGGUGUAGCGGUGAAAUGCGUAGAGAUCGGGAGGAACACCAGAGGCGAAGGCGGCGACCUGGACGGGCACUGACACUCAACUACGAAAGCGUGGGGAGCAAACAGG
rnacentral:rRNA from 1 species